rnacentral:rRNA from 1 species
GACAUAGGUCGCAAACGUUAUCCGGAAUUAUUGGGCGUAAAGGAUGCGUAGAUGGUUCAGUAAGUUACUGGUGGGAAAUCGAGGCCCAACCUCGUGGAAGUUAGUAAUACUGUUGAACUUGAGUGCAGGAGAGGUUAACGGAACUUCAUGUGGAGCGGUAAAAUGCGUAGAUAUAUGAAAGAACAUCAAUAUAGCGAAGGCAGUUAACUAUUCUGCUACUGACAUUGAGGCAUGAAAGCGUGGGGGAGCAAAAACGGG